rnacentral:lncRNA from 1 species
GGGUCAUUUUCACCUGCUCCUGUGCACCCACCUGGCUUCCCAGGGCCACUGCAGCUCCUGAACAACUGAAUAAGCUAUCAUUGCAGCUUGAUCACCAGGAUGCAGAGGUGACCAAAGGGUCAAAGGAACAGAAGCUGGGCCAUUGCAGACAUGGGUAAUCCUCAAAUAGAAAAAUCCACUCCCAGAUCGUCUGGAGCCAAAUGGAGACCUGCUGUGCUUGGGGAAUCACUGACUGGGUUGCGAUUUGAAAUGUGUAAUCAUCAGAUACACUGAAAGCCAAACCUCACACAGAAACCUUUCAGUUAGCCAUAUGUUUGGGACACCUUUGGUGUUUCCUAAUGCCCCAGAACUGGGAAGCAGAAGAUCCACAAGAGAAAAGAAGAGCUCUCGGAACAGAGAAUGCAAGGAGAUUGGAAGAGAGCCCCUUUUGUUUGUGUGUACGGGAUCAAAGCUGGAAGCUUUUCAACAGACAGGACAGAGCAUCACCUACCACAACAACUAAGCCCACUAUCCAGUGUUAGACCCAUCUACAAAUACUGAAGUCGAGAUAUUCUAAAGUAUGGAAAAUGAUACUUGCAGUUAUCAAUAGAUACAAAACUUUCAUUUUCUGAUUCGUAAAAUCUGAAAAUAUAAUCAUUUAUGUCUUCACACAUCCUUGGAGAUUUAUACACUGCAUUAAAAUUUUGUAUUCAGUGUACCUCAAAAUCCUCAAGAAGAGGGGAAAAAUGACAAUAAAGCAAAGCUCACGUGCCAAGAAUAAUUCUUACUCUGUUUCAAAGACUUUUUGAACAAGUGGAAUAUGAACAUGACAAUCUUGAAGAUGAUUCCAGGAACUCUGCAUCCAAAUUUUCAAAUAUACAUCAUGACACCAAAGAAGAUUAGGACACACUAGAAAGCAUUUCUUUCAAACCAAACCUAUAGUUCACUAUCUAGCCCUGCCAAGAAGCAGAAAGUUUUUUCCAAAAGAUUUCUCAGUGUUAUCAAAUAAGAGAUGGGGUUACUUAAAGAUGAAGACAGCAGAAGAAACUAUAUGGAGUUAGUUCGUAAAUAUCUCUUCACAUUCCUUACGCUGGUAUAGACUCAGAAAAAGUUU